AAAAAGACAAACCAUGGAUUUCCGUGUCCAACGUUUGACUGUCCGUCUUAUAUGAAUUUUUUUAUAGUUAGUAUUUUUAUUGUUGUUAGAUGAUAAAACAUGAUUAAUACUUUAUGCGUGACUUGUCUUUUAAAUUUUUUUUCAUAAUUUUUUCAAAUAAGACAGACGGUCAAACGUUGGACACGGAAACCCAGGGUU
rnacentral:pre_miRNA from 1 species